GUCGAUAGGUCUGCUAGCAACAGCCGUGCUGCAGCAGAGAGAGAGAGAGAAAUCAAGAAACAAGUCAUAGCAACACCGGGCACCAGGUUCUGCCAGCUCACUUGCUGAGCGUUCAGAGAUCUGUCAGGGCCAGAGGCCUCUGGGUAGCCUAGGCUAGGAGAUGACACGCAAGGUGGCACGGGCGGUUCCCGUGGGGAGGAGGUGGGGUGGUGGUGGGGGGCAGGGGUGGGAGCAAGAGGUUGUGGGGCGACGGUGGAGGGUUUGAUGGGACCAAAUUCUGGAACAUUCGGGACUGCGGCACCUUACGGCGGGACCAAGAUUUGGGUCUGCGCAGGCGGCGAUGGGUGGUCCGACGGGCUUCAGGACUUGAUGGCGUAACCCCCUUCUUCCCCCACAGGACUCAGGAGAGUGCAGCUUGCUCUGUGAGUGGGUGACAACCUCUUGGCGACUCAGGCUCAGCUGAGGAUGGUGCCAGUGUGCCGGAGACAGCCGUCAUACUGCCGGAUAGAGUGGCUCACUUGCAUGUAUUUGGAACAAAAAAAGGAGAUGCCUGGCAGCCCCGCUCUCUGCAGUGCUGUUGAGCCACCAAUUUUUGUGGUUUUGUGACCACAAGUGCUGACUGAUGCGACAUGACCCCAGUCUUGUCAGUGAAUCAUCACCAGGCUGCUUACUGGAAACUGGAUGCAGCAAGGAAAUAGGAUUUAACCGCUCUCUGCCUCCCAGGUAAGUCCAGUGUGGGCUGCUCCCUCCAGCCUUCCCCCAUCCUCCUUCCUUCCCACGAACACCAUUUUCCUUAUUCCGCCGGGGAAUCCUCAGACGUCUCCAUUCAGAAUCUCCCAAACGAUUGUUCUCUUUUUUGCAUUCUUCUCCUUCUGGCUUUUCUGUGUGGGGUUAGUAACCAGCACAGGGUUGGGGGCAGAAUGGGCAGCUGAAGUGGUCGGGCUGUGCGGACGUGUGGGAGAUAGCUGGGUAGUGUUGCUGGGUGUGGCAGUUGGCAGAGCAUUUGGGCCUCCCACAGUAAUAGAAACUCUCUUUGGCUCCAGCAUCCAGCAGGAGGUUCUGGGUUUAACCCCUCGGUAAUCCUGGGAGCCUUCCUGGUGCCUGGGGAUUCUCUCCCCUGUGUAGUCUCAGUGGAUGGCCUGUCUUAACUCUAGAUACAUUUUGCCUUGAGGGGGCUUAGUCUAGGUUGGUGGUCUGGAGUUUGGACUGGGCUGAGCAGUGAGCUUUGGGACUCUCCCUAAUUUUGGGGUUUCUUUGAAUGAGCCACUUUCUUCCUCUAGGCCUUCAUUACCUUUGCCUUAAAAAACAAAAUCCCUGGUCCAGUAAGCCAUUGCAAAGCAUCUCUAGGAAGUUGACAAAGAAAUGCUUUUCUUCUGCCUCACUUGCUGCCGAUCACAGUAAUAGCAAUGGUGAUUAAAAAUGAAAAAUGAUGACGGCCUGCAGAAUCAGGGAGGUCAGUGGCAUCAUUGAUACAAUUCACAAAGCAGACUCUCGGUGCCCACACAUCACUAGGAAGUCUCUCUCCUAUCGAGUAGAUGACUACAGCAUUCUUGGCCAGUAAAGCCAGUUGGAAUUAGCCAACAGCAGAUUGGUCUGGGCUCUAAAGAUAAAAGGAAUUAUGUUGGGUAAUUUUCGGAGGUACCUAUGGGAUCCUACCUCUGGCCACACAGUGGUCGCCUCUCUCUGCUCAUAUGUUUCGGUGGGGGUGGGGGGUUCCUCUUCCCCAUGCUGCUCCCGUUGCUAUCCAGGGAAGAUUGGCCAAUUCUGCUUCCUGUUAUUUCUUCUUCUCCUCUGUCCAUUUGAGGUGAGUCUCUAGGUUGGCUGUGAACAGCCUGAGGAACCCAGGGCUGUUUGGAAGAAUCUGAUGUCUCUUCCUUCAAGGACCCUGACAGGUCUCAGCCCUCCAGCAGUACUGCAGUGAGGGAUGGCAGGGGGUGUUGGAGUGGAGAGAUAUCGACUUGGGUGCAGCUGGGGAGACUAAAAGGAGUGAGCCAAGUCCCUCAAGAAGUGUUGGCUAGAGUCUGGCCAGCCCUGGCUGUAGGGCUGGAGCCAGACGUAGCUGCUGGCUGUGCUUGGGAGUCUCAGCCCUCAUAUGUGCAGUGUGUCCCUGGGCAUGGCUCUUCGUGAUCCCCACUCCCACGAAUAGCCCUGUCCUUGGUUAGAUUGGGAAAACCAGGGUGGGAAGUAAAGGGGAGGUUGGUUUUGCUCGUGGUCAUGCAGUUAUCUCUCUGGCCUCUGAUGUUUCCAGAAUUGGGAUUGGUGCUUCCCUGCUGAUUUUCCUAUUUUUGUCCCUCAUCUGGUUCUUUUCCUCCUUGCUCACCAGCCUGGGUUCUACACACAUGACAUGGGGCAUUGUGUGUUCCCAAUGAGGAUAGCAGAACAGUUGGUAUCUCCUGAGAGAGGGGCCAGCAUAUCUGGCACUUUUUUCUUGACCUUUGAAUUUCUGAGGUCUGGGAGUCAGGAGGCAGCAUGGGGCCUCUCCAUCCGGGAUCCAGCAGAGGUUAACAGAGUUGGUGGCUCUGGAGCUGAGGUGGUGUGGCUUGGCUGGGAGUUGUGGGGGAGAGGCCCUGCCAGGGGCCCUGAUUGGUCAGUACCUUCUCUAUUCCAUUGAAUCCUGGUCCGGUCAGCUCUGUGAAUUGUUUAAUGCAUAUCUUGGCUCUGUCCCCUGGCUCGAGUGUCCCUAAGGCUGCAGCCACAGCUUUAGAGAGGAUCUGUACCUUGUGCUGGUCACUUUUUUUGGGCGUGUUACCUCCCUCUGAGAUAUGUAAGAGAUACCACCCUUUCCCACCAGCCGGCUGUCUGUGGGAGGCCCUCAUUUUGCUUUGCUUUUCUGAGACUUGGAGUGACUGUGAGGAAAGCAUGGACUGAGUUUGCUUUCUUGCUGGUUCCUUCCACAAGAGCUGCUCAUGGGCUGAUAAAGCCAGAGAACACCUCCAGGGCCCCAUGGCCUGUGCGGAGCCUGGUACCAUAGUGUCAAGCCUACAGGGAUGGACUGGGGACAUGGGGGCAGAUAGAGCCACGUGGGGAGGUGGUAUGUGUGGUUAGAUCACAGGAGCAAGUCCAGGAGGGUGUGGGAGGACAAGUCCAGUGCUCAGCCAGGGCUGCCUGUCAUGGCCCAGGAUGGAUGUGUGCAUCUCCUGUGAAGGAUUUGCGUCUGAGUGCCUGGUACUGAAGGUAGGAUGGUGCCCCGAUCAGGGUCUAUAAUGAGGCAUGAAGGUAUGAGAUGGGCAUCAGAGUUGUUGGUCCAAGGGAAACUGACCUUUUUAAAGGGCUCUCCUCUCCUUAUCUGAUUUCAUCCUCAGAACAACCAUAUGACAUAGGGAUCACUUCCCUUUUAUAGUUAAAGAAACAGAUUAAGUGACUUAACCCAAGGUUAUGCAUUUGGUAAGUGAGGUUGUUGAGAUUUAAAUGCAUGCACUUCUUAUUCCAAAGCCUCUACGUUAUCUUUACUCUUUUGGGCUGAAGUCAGACAUUUUUGUGAACUAAGAUUCUCAGAGGACUGAUGUGAACCAGAGUGAAAAGGCAGACACCCGAAGGAACUUUCCAGUCACUGGGGACGGUUGUGCCGCAUUCCUUUAGGGGGAGGCAGGGCAGACCCAAAUGCCCUUUGGUAGCCAUGGACAGGCAGAGCUGAGUAAGGCCAGUACAUGGCGUCUGCUGCUGUGUACGGAGCCUCUGCUAUGUGCCAGGGACUGUGCCAGGCGCUAGAGAUACAGAACUUGACAAAGCCAACUUUCCACUUUCAUGGGGCAUACAUUCUAGUGUGGAGAGACACCGCUAAUAAUGAUUUUUAAAAAGAAUUUAAAAAUGUACAGGGUAGACAUAUAUGGAGAUUGUGUGGGGAUGAAAAGGGGGACCCCCCACACACAUAAGGAGGAGAAUUCAGAUGAUGGUCAGAGGGUUCUAGAGACUUAGGACCUCAGCCAUCUGAAGCCACAUCAAUUGAGCUUUCCUUCAGGGAGUUAGGACUGACACAAACUAACCCCCUCUUUUUUCCUAAUAACUUGGGAAAUCCAUCCAAGGUCCCCAUGGCUUACAGGAACUUGUCGUGAGUCAGGGAUCAAGGUGGAGUAGAUGUCAAGCCUUUGGUCUCCGGCAGACUGGUUCUCUCCUGUCUGCCAUGGUUGCUGUUGGCCUUCUGCCUCACACCCUCCCAGGCACCAGCUGACUUCUUUCCUCAGCCUGGUCACUGUGCCCCACACUUGUCCAUGCAGCACAGGGAAACGUGCAGGUUAGGUCUUUGCCGAGCCAUUGGUCAAAUGUUCCUGCAGGAGGCUGGUUCUGAACUCAGCCUGUCCUGCCAGAACGAGCCGUUCCCAGAGCUAAUCGUCUCACGAUAGGGAAGGGAUGGGCACCAGGCAUAGAGAAGUGACCUGUGCCAGAUGCUUGGUUGAGCUGUGUCUUGAGAGGCGGAGGCAGGUUGGUGGUGCUGGGGACAGGGCAGGCAUGUGUCAUGUGUUCAGCGCAUGUAGCUCCAGGGCUCGGGACUUGUUUACUUGGUGGAAGAGGCAGCGGACCUGCGGAGUCAGGCCAUGUGAUUGUUGGCUCUUUGGCUGAUCAUGGACAGCUGACCCGCCGGACUGCACACACUGCCAUCUGCUGCCAGGGGUCUGAAGUUGCACAGGGAUGAGGUAGUGUAGUUGGGGGUGCUCAGGGAGGAGGAGGGUCAGGAAAGUGGGGUUUGUGUUGCUCUGUGUUGAGUCAGCCGACCCUGAUUCUGGUCCUAGCUCUUGUUGGUAAAAACUCACUCACUUUCCUCCUUUCAGCUCCAGUUUCAUUAUCUAUGAAAUGAGGGGAUGGAACCAGAAUCUCUUUGGAGGUUCCAGCUGUAUCCUGGGGCCUCCCUGAAUGUUCAUGGAGAUGUUCCUUAGCCAGUAAUUCAAGAUGAGGAAAACUAGGCCCAGGUUUCCACAAGAGAAGGGGAGGGAUCUUGAUGACCUGUCUCAGAGCGGCUGAAGUGGUACUGUUGGAAUUAGGGUGGGUGGGUGGGAGGAGGUAGUUUUUAAAGACCUCCCAGAAGUGGAAGCAGAGGGCUGGAGGUUUCGUGAAGGUGUUGAUGAGGAUCCACCGGGUGGUAGGGGACAUGGCUACGCGCUUCCCCCGGGAGGCUUGUUGGAGAUGGGUUUAUGUGGGAGCUGCUGGGGGUGCCUGCUGUCCUGCAAGGGGCUGACCCAAGGGACCCUGCUCUAGGAAAGAUGCUCCGUCCUGUCUGGCCCUAAACCCUGGAGAGAGAAUGCAGCUGUGGUUUGAGGGAGGGUCUGUGCCCCUUGCUGUCAGGAAGUUUUCCUUUAUAUUUAGCCUUCUCUUUUCAUGUAUUUUUUGAGGCCCUCGACUAAAAAAUUAAAUUUAAUUUUAAAAAAUAACAAUGAAAAAAAUAAAAAAUAAACAAAAAUAUCUCAGAGCCACUGGUUCCAUUUUGGCUUUUUAGUCUUGAGUCACUCUUAAAAAGAUAGCAAAAUAAAACACAUGCAGGAAAGCCGAAGGUCCCAGGCCCAGCCAGAUGGGGGCUAGGAGUGGCUGGGACUCUGGCCUAGCUUCUCCAUGGCAGCGUUAGUCCCAGACGUACACCACUUCUGCAAGGCUGUGUGGGUAGGAGCCCCUGGGGCUGAGGGGGCACAUUGUGCAAUCUGCUAAGCAGAAUGUAGAGUUUUAAAAUAGCUACCUUUCUCCAAGACACUAUCUGCUUGCCGCUUUGUGGGAUGUUUACCUGGGAUUAAUAAUAGCUGAGUGCCACCCCACUGCCAGUAUGGAAUAGCAAACAGCGAUCUGGGCUAGGACUCAGGCAGGAGAGGAAUGGAGUAAUAACCAUCGUAUCAGCUCACAUAGUUCUUUUCAUACUUGCUGGCUCAUUUGGUCCUCACACAACCCUGAGAGGGUAGGUGGUCUUAUCCUUGUCGUUGGUAAAACUGAACCUGAGAGUCAAUCCUGCCAAGAUCUGACUGCUUGUAGCCGCUUCUCGUGGGUCUCCCAUCUAGGUCCUCUGACUUCAGCUGUUAUUUCUCUGGGUUCUGACUAGUGGGGCAGGGACAGGAGUAGGGGAGUGGAGUCUUUGGCAGUUUCCUUAAUUUCUGAAGGCCUUAGAGGGCCUAGAGAUGCCUUUUCUAUGUGUUGAAUGGGAAACGGAACCUCAGCAUGUCCAGGUUCUCCAACUCUCUGAUUCUUCAGACUUCUUGGAGCUCUUGUGAGAACUGGCUUGCACUUUUUGGCUGGGAAGCCAGCCACUCACCAUGUGUUCUUGGAGAGGUUUCCUGUAUUUGGAAGCUUCUGGAAUAUGUGAUGCAUCAAACCACUGUGACACAUCUGUAUGGCACCUCAUGCCUAUGCACACAGGCAUGCUUCUGCUGAGUGCAGCUCACUUAGAGAUGAGGCCCAGUGUAGGGUUUUUGAAAUUUUUCCAACACAUUUGUAAGAGAUGCCCUGAGCCUUGCCCAGCAUGCAUGUUGUGUGUAUGCUACCUGUUUGCUGGCUAAUGUACAGCGCCUGCUGGAAGCCUUGGCUAAUGUACAAUGUAAAGUAAGGGACUAGAAACACUGGCUUUAGUUCUGAGUGUCUGCUUCAUGAUUGACUUGAAAAAGUAGGGCUUACCCACAGAGAGAAAGGUGGGUAAGAGAACUCGUGGGUGUCAGUUUUCCUUAAAGGCAGAGCAUAAUCCCCCACUCUUUAUAAGGGCUGGUAAGGCAGAGUAUUGGACAGCAGGACUUCUUGGCCAGUUAGCCCUCUUGAGUGACCUUUGUUUAAAUAGACCCAGAACUUGUAUGAAGGAGGAAAUAAUGGUUUAUCUUUAUUUACAGCGGAUUUAGCCAUGAUGGUUUAGGCUUUUUCUGGGGGUAUUCCUUUAGGACAGUUGAGGUUGGACAGGGGCAGCAUGCAUAUGUGUCUCUAAAUGUCUGUCCUUUGGUAUUUCCUGAAUGCAUCCUUGGCUCAUACUGAAACCCUGUGAUGGGGAAUCCACAGCGGAAUUGUUUUAGUGGAUAAAGCCUUCUGUAGCUUCAUGUGUGAAGAUUUGUCAUGUUGGAUCCAGUUCAUUCUGUCCACUUGAAGGAUGGAAAAGAGAGUGGGCAGAACUUGCAGCAAGGAGAGUGAUUUGGGCUAGACUUCUGGGAGAACUGUGCAUCACCUCUGCUGAGGGUUCCUGAGGAAAGAUGAAGCCUCUUUAUUUGAGGUAGGAGACUCGGUGUCCUCCACAGGAUCCUCCCAGUCCCAAGUCUGUGGCACUUUGAGACAGUCCCUGGAACAGCAUGAGGUUUGGGUGCCAGGAUCUAGAGCAGGCAUUUCUCUCCAUCUUUCCCAUCUGUCUUCAAGACAGGCCCAAGCUGGAUGCAAUUGAGGGGAUGCAUGGGCAGGGUACACCAAUGUGGUCAUCGAAUCUGGAACUUUGACCUUGUUUCCCUUUGCAGAGAGAACUUCUGGCACUGAUCUUAUAGGAACUGGUGUUAUUUGCAUAUAAAAAAAGAGAAAGGCAUGUUGUCCCUCAUCUUUUCCAGGAAAGAGUGCUGAGCUGCUCUAAUCCUAUGGUGGGGAGGGAGGAGGGCCGUGUAGAGGACGCAAGGCCAGACAUGGUUUGCUGGGAAGAAGGUAGGAGGUGGGAGAGGAACAUCCCAGGGCAGGCCCACAACUCUGGGAGCCACAGACAUUGCCUGCUAUACUAAAGGCAAAGGGAUGUGUUCAAAUAGGCCUACUAUUUAGCGGUAACCCACAGUCUGAAAUAAAUCAGUUAAUGGCUAAAUGAGAGUUGUAUUAAAUAUGGAAAAUCAUAUUUUUUGUGUGUCAUCACCACCUACAGAUUUAGCAUCAACAGGCCUGAAAGGCUGAGGAUGCUGAAAUGGGCCCUGUCCGUAAGAUCAUGCUUAUUUUAUAAUGACUUUUUGUCUCUUUUCAUUACUAUUUCCCACUCUUAUUCCUUAGGUCUACGUGAAUAUUUAUUUAUGCAGUUGUGUUAUUUCCUUGGGGUACAGUUCUUCCAGUGUCAUUGGCAUCAAUGAAUAUGUGACUUUGAUUUCAAGUGUAAACAAACCACUGGUUCACGGCAGGGACAAGCCAUCUCUGAGACAAGGGCUCCAGCAGCUGCCUACAGAUGCCCUUCCCCCAAUAGCCCUGGACUGUUUCGGCCAGACGCCUGAGACGAGAGUCAAGGGUGUUCUUGCAGGGACCUGCCCAACGCUAUGUCAUGUGUCCUGCCUGGAGGGUGGUGCUCACACAUGCAUCUUCCAGCCUUAUUAGCUGGUACUGCUUUUCAGCUUGACCCGAGGAGUGGUAUUGGAAGUUUGAGACCGUACAUCCCUUGCUAGGUGAGAAGGGGGUCAGAGAGGUCAGGCACAGACAGAGAAGGGAACGCAGGCUCCUGGCCACUAGCCUCUCUCAAGACAGGUGAACUUUGUGUUAAGCGAACUCAUUUAAUAUUUUGGGCCUAAUAGAAGUUAUUUGUAUUUUCUCUCCUCUCUUUUCCCUCCUCUCUCUCACUCACCCUCCCCCCACUCCCCAGCCUCCAAAGAAUUUAAUCUGCUGGACAACAAACAAUACUGUUAUAAAACUUUGAAAACAAGAGGGCGCGGCCUCCCUGACAAGGAGAAGGGCAUGUUGGGUAACGGCCUGAGGGAGCGUGCCAGGCCUGAGAUGGAGCCGGGCGAGAGCCCAGUUGGCUGGGUACCUGGGCGCCUGCCCCUGCAUAGCCCACUAGCCGCGCCAUCCCCAGGCCAGAGGGGAAGGAACCAAAACAAAAUGGGGGGCAGAGAAACGCUUGAAAAGGGAAGUUGCACAUGUUCCCCUCUCUCUGAUCUGAUGGGAAUGCACUAGACUGUGAAACUUCCUCCUCCACCUCUUCUCCCGAGUCCCUCCCUCCCUCUUACCCUCCUUCCUCCUCUCUCCUCCCUCCUUUCUCCUCCUUCCUCCUCCUGCUACUCACUGUUCUUGAGUCUGGCAGACAGAGGUCCUGAUAGCAGAAUGAGGCUGGAAUAGCACCAUAGGUGCAGCUACCAGCUGGGCCAGCCAAAGAGGAAGGAGAGAAAGUGGGCUUGCAGUUGGCUUUGGAUUCAAAUCUACCCUCUGUCUGGCCCAGCCUCCCUCCAUUCUAUUAGGGAAGUGGAACUACAUCACGCCACAGGGUGUGCCCAGUCCAUGUGUGUGGACCAGGUGUGUGCCCAGGUACUGGGGAGAACUGCCACUCAGAGAUUAGUUCAGGAAGCACCCUGGGCUUCCUGGUGCCCCCCUUGGGCUGUGCUCUGCUCUGGGGAGAGUGUUUGACUUGUUGAAAUGCUCUCUCCUUUGAGAUGCUGUGCUCUCCCUCCAGGGAGGAGCAGAGGCUGUGCUGCAAGAGGCUGGGGCAUGUCUCUGGAGGAGCUCUUGGGAACAGGAACGUGCUUCUCCCAGCGAGAGCAGCCAUGCCGUCUUGUGAGUGUGGUGCCUGGUAGGAUACUGCAUCUGUUAGUUACUUCCCAGUGGCUGAAGGAAGUGGUCACCAGCUCUGCCUGGGGGAGGUGGGGGAGCUGGGCUUUGGGGCGUCUCCCUCCCUACCUCCAGAGUUAGGUUUCACCUGAGACUGUGGUUUCACUUUUGACUCCAUCUUCACUGAGUCAAGCAGAUGAUUUAGGAAUGACCAGGGAGCAGCAUUGGUGGUUUGCCUUUGGAUCUGCAUUGGUUUGGACCCAUGAACUCUGUGGUGGGCAUUGUGUUUGUGUAAUAGACCAUUGGUAUGCUCAUUUUUCCUCUUGCAGAAAGCACUAGCUUUCUUGAAAGCAGUUCAGGGACAUGCCCAUCCUUCUGUGCCAGAGCUGAGCCCUUCUACUGGGGGAACAUGGAGACACGCGAGCUCCAGUCUUCAUUCCACUCCUCCUCCUUCCCUUUGCCCUCCACUGUCUCCUGCUGUCCCCCCAGCUCAUCCCAGGGGCAGGGUAACCUUGGUGCAUCCUCCCAUCCAGCCAGCAGUCCCGACCCAGGGCCCCCGUGCCUGGACUGAGUCUGGGGUUUAUGUCAGUAGUGUUAAGGGAGGGAUGGAAAACUGAACUUUUAGGAGUGCAGCUGCCUAGGAACAUAGACCUCCAUACCUCUGACGCAGGGGAAACCAGAAAAACCGAUGCUGGGUCCACGUAGGCUUGGAAGGCUGUUACUUUUUGCCUUCUUACCUGAAUAGGAAUUUGAGGGGCACUGUGGGUUUGGAGGAUGUGAUUCCCACACUGGGGCUCAGGGCCUGGGAAAUGCAGUGGUCCCUGGGUUCUGAGUCCUCCUUUGAAGGCCACCCUGCCAGAAAGGAAGAGCCUGAUGGAGGUUUCUGGGGACUUUGGGCCAGCCGGUAACUCCAUGCUCCCUCUGCUCCACCCUUGGCCCCUCAUGUGUAUACCAUUCCUUUUAUCACCCUUCCCUCUGAUUCACAGCCCCCACCCUGACAGCUAAAGACAGAAUGCCCAGGCUGCUGCCUAGAAUGACAGGAAGCUGGACUGCCCUUUCAGUUUAUACAUGCAAUGGCCUGGGACUGUCUCUUGAGGGCAAGACAUUCCCCUUUUACAAAAGAGCCUUCCCCAGGCCCCUCUCUCACCAAGAUGAGCUCUUCCUUGCUGCCAGGAGCCCUGAAAUCAGCAUUCCCAGAGGAAAGAAGAUGGCCAUCUGGGCUUGGCUUCCGGCUCCCCCCAUCUGGCUGGAACACACAUCAGUCACCCCUGUGUAACCUCCUCUGUGCCUUUCCCAUGGAGCACUGUGUCAUAUCACAAGUAGAACUACAAGAAGAUAUUUCUCCUCAGGGCAGAGGCUGGGUCUUCCGAUUGAAUCUCCCUUCUUUCUUCAUUGAGAUCCUCUUCUUCUGGAAGCUGGUUUCACAUGGUGGCUUAGAUUUUUCCAUCUUUGUAUCUAGCACCAUUUGAAAUCAGUGUUUUAGGAGUAAGAAUUGCAGCACAGCCAAGGGUGGACUGCAGAGGAACUGCUGCUCAUGGAACUGGCUCCUCUCCUCUUGCCACUUGAGUCUGUUCGAGAAGUCCAGGGAAGAACUUGAAGAGCAAAAUACACUCUUGAGUUUGUUGGGUUUUGGGAGAGGUGACAGUAGAGAAGGGGGUUGUGUUUAAAAUAAACACAGUGGCUUGAGCAGGGGCAGAGGUUGUGAUGCUAUUUCUGUUGACUCCUAGCAGCCAUCACCAGCAUGAAUGUGUUCGUAGGGCCUUUGAGUGUGGCGAUUGUCAUAUUCUGUUGGAUAACAAUGUAUUGGGUGUCGAUUGUCAUGGGGCAGGGGAGAGGGCAGUACACCUGGAGGACCAUUUUGUCCACAUCGACACCAUCAGUCUGCUCUUAGAGGAUGCCCUGGAGUAUUCGGCGUUGAUUGCGGGGCACCCGAAAUCAGACUUGCCACCUGGACUGUCGAGGUGCAGACCCUGGGAGCACCACUGGCCCAUCUCUUACACAGGCUGACCGAUUUCUCCUGGUGUUCAGAGUCUGUUUUUGUCUAGCACCAUUUGAAAUCGGUUAUGAUGUAGGGGGAAAAGCAGCAGCCUCGAAGCCUCAUGCCAACUCUGGGCAGCAGCAGCCUGUGGUUUCCUGGAAGAUGGAUGGGCAGAGAAUAGGGAAGGAAGAUCAUGCUUUUCCCUACUAACUUCUGUAACUGCAUGUAUGAUACAUUAUUGCAGAGGUAAGAGAUAGUUUAAUGGAUUUUUAAAAACAAAUUACUAUAAUUUAUCUGAUGUUCUCUAGUUGCAUUUUGCUGAAAUGUAGUGCUGUUCUAAAUUCUGUAAAUUGAUUGCUGUUGAAUUAUCUUUCUGUUGAGAAGAGUCUAUUCAUGCAUCCUGACCUUAAUAAAUACUAUGUUCAGUUUAUCAUGUCUGUGUUUUUCAUCUAUUAUUUCCCAUUCAUAAUUCUGUGAUGAUAAGAAGUGGGUCCUGAAAAAUUAAUUGGCUGUGCAGAUCUUGCCUACUUCAUAAAGAAUUUGAAGUAGGUUACAGCCAGCCAGACAUUAAAAAUGAAGCCCAUUAAGAGAAGAAUGAAAUUCUAUGAGCCAAGAAAUAAAAUGAGAGAAAAGAUUAGGGAAGAGAAGAAAUGUUGAAGAUCAAGGCUGAGGGAUGCUCCCUACUGAAUGGGAAAACUCCUUAGUUCCACAUGGGCU
rnacentral:lncRNA from 1 species